UGAGGAAUAUUGGUCAAUGGACGAGAGUCUGAACCAGCCAAAUCGCGUGAAGGAAGACUGCCCUACGGGUUGUAAACUUCUUUUGUACAGGAAUAAAAGACAUUACGUGUAAUGUAUUGCAUGUACUGUACGAAUAAGCAUCGGCUAACUCCGUGCCAGCAGCCGCGGUAAUACGGAGGAUGCGAGCGUUAUCCGGAUUUAUUGGGUUUAAAGGGUGCGCAGGCGGGAUUUUAAGUCAGCGGUGAAAUUUUCAGGCUCAACCUGAACACUGCCGUUGAAACUGGGAUUCUUGAGUAUGGAUGAAGUAGGCGGAAUUCGUUGUGUAGCGGUGACAUGCUUAGAUAUAACGAGGAACUCCGAUUGCGUAGGCAGCUUACUAGGCCAUAACUGACGCUCAAGCACGAAAGCGUGGGGAUCAAACA
rnacentral:rRNA from 1 species